CGAAACUUCCGUACCCUCUUCCUGAGUCACCACGAAGGCCUGGACAAUGCAGUCCCUGCGCUGCGGUCGGACAUGGGCAGGGCCCCACUUCCUCCUUCCUGCAGGGAUAUCCUUCCUUUCCUAUAGAAGAGACAUCUGAGGCAGGCUCCGCUCCGACACAGAACUGGCGAUUCAUGCUGAACGUAAAGGCAAGCGUGCCUGUUUUCCAGGGCUGCCAUGCCAACUCCAGCAGCAGAAAGAAGUUGACAGGGGCCAGGAGGCCCACUUGUGCCAAGGGUUUGGCACCUUGGAGGGUGUAGUGGAGCGUGCAGUUCCCAAGCUGGCUGCGUGUGGAGUGGCUCGCAGCAUCUGGACGGGCUUACAGUAGUGUGGAAAUCUGCAUCGGUGCACGUAAAACCAAAACCAAACCAAACAAAAGGGAGAAAAAAACAAAACAAAAACAAAAAACCAAUUCAUUAUAUUUCAAUACAUAUGUUUAUCUGUGAGUAUGUAUUUAAAAUGGCACGUAAAAUUUGCCCGAGGGCAUGCUGCAAGCUAAGGUUGCUGGAGAAUGGCUACACCUCUGGAUGUCUUUCCAGUGCAGAAAGCUGGGAAAGGUGAAACCCCACACCUGAGCAUCCCAGAUGCUGGCGUUUUAAUUUGUGUGCAGGAACUGGAGAGGUGCUCUUUGUCCAAGGUGGAUGAACAUAGCUGGCCUCAGGCCAAGGCUAAGUAAUUAGUGGGAAAUAUUCAAUUAUUUAGAAUGAAUAUACACCAUCUCUAUUGCUACUACAAAAAAAAUCAACUAAGUCUAUGUUGCCCAGUGAUCUUUUCAGUAGCUAUAUUUGUAUUUAAACAUUUUUUUGUGUUAAAGUUAAAUAAAACUUAGAAUCUCUAAAAAAAAAAAAAAAAAAA
rnacentral:lncRNA from 1 species